rnacentral:sRNA from 1 species
GUCUCCUUUUAAGUUGUUUUUGCAAUCAUGAUGCAUGUAAUGCCCCUGGUAGGCUUGCUGCUUCUCAUAUUGCUAUGAUUAAUUGAAUUCUUUAGCAAUCAGUAGGCAUGCUGUCUCUCAUAUUGCACCACCCUCUUUACCGCGUCUUCUAUUCUAGUUGAAGGCGUGUUUAUCUCAAACCUUAAUGGAAGCCAUCCAUCGAACAAUCAGCCAUACUUACCACCCUUCUUCAUCCAACAUACACGAUCGAUCCUCUCUCUAUUCAAUAUUAUCAUCCUAUCAACUGCCAAGAACCUACCCUACCCUAUAUUUAUGAGGUUUGCCGCAAAUCCUUCCAUAAGAAUCGACUAAGACUACUCACCAGAAGCUGAGCCAGGGCUAGAAGUCAGUGCCAGAUCUUGAGAUGAGGAAGGAACAAAGUUUUCCGCGUUUUAGGCUUUUGAAAGCAGGAUAUUGUGGAAUGUUUUAAGGGAGGAUAGGGCCAAGAAGAUAGACAAAAAUGAUGAUGAUGAUAGUUGCAGAAGUUGGGGAUAAAGGAAUAAUUUUAAUGAAGGAAUGGGAAUGGGACUGGG